UACCAGCACCCCGAGUGGUCGGGACGUUUAUUGGGCCUAAAGCAUCCGUAGCCGGUUCUACAAGUCUUCCGUUAAAUCCAACUGCUUAACAGGUGGGCUGCGGAAGAUACUAUAGAGCUAGGAGGCGGGAGAGGCAAGCGGUACUCGAUGGGUAGGGGUAAAAUCCGUUGAUCCAUUGAAGACCACCAGUGGCGAAGGCGGCUUGCCAGAACGCGCUCGACGGUGAGGGAUGCAAGCUGGGGGAGCAAACCGG
rnacentral:rRNA from 1 species